rnacentral:rRNA from 1 species
AUUGAACGCUGGCGGCAGGCUUAACACAUGCAAGUCGAGCGGAGAGAGGUAGCUUGCUACUGAUCUUAGCGGCGGACGGGUGAGUAAUGCUUAGGAAUCUGCCUAUUAGUGGGGGACAACAUUUCGAAAGGAAUGCUAAUACCGCAUACGUCCUACGGGAGAAAGCAGGGGAUCUUCGGACCUUGCGCUAAUAGAUGAGCCUAAGUCGGAUUAGCUAGUUGGUGGGGUAAAGGCCUACCAAGGCGACGAUCUGUAGCGGGUCUGAGAGGAUGAUCCGCCACACUGGGACUGAGACACGGCCCAGACUCCUACGGGAGGCAGCAGUGGGGAAUAUUGGACAAUGGGCGCAAGCCUGAUCUAGCCAUGCCGCGUGUGUGAAGAAGGCCUUAUGGUUGUAAAGCACUUUAAGCGAGGAGGAGGCUACUUUAGUUAAUACCUAGAGAUAGUGGGCGUUACUCGCAGAAUAAGCACCGGCUAACUCUGUGCCAGCAGCCGCGGUAA